UACGUAGGGGGCUAGCGUUGUCCGGAUUUAUUGGGCGUAAAGAGCGUGUAGGCGGCCAGAUAGGUCCGCUGUGAAAACUCGAGGCUCAACCUCGAGAUGUCGGCGGAAACCAUUUGGCUAGAGUCCGGAAGAGGAAAGUGGAAUUCCUGGUGUAGCGGUGAAAUGCGCAGAUAUCAGGAAGAACACCCGUGGCGAAGGCGGGUCUCUGGGCCGAUACUGACGCUGAGGAGCGAAAGCGUGGGGAGCGAACAGG
rnacentral:rRNA from 1 species